rnacentral:rRNA from 1 species
CUUGAACGCUGGCGGCAUGCUUUACACAUGCAAGCCGAACGGUAACAGGCCGCAAGGUGCUGACGAGUGGCGAACGGGUGAGUAAUGCAUCGGAACGUGCCCAGUCGUGGGGGAUAACGCAGCGACAGCUGUGCUAACACCGCAUACGAUCUAUGGAUGAAAGCGGGGGACCGUAAGGCCUCGCGCGCUUGGAGCGGCCGAUGUCAGAUAAGGUUGUUGGUGGGGGAAAGGCCCCCCAAGCCAACGAUCUGUAGCUGGUCUGAGAGGAUGACCAGCCACACGGGGACUGAGACACGGCCCAGACUCCUACGGGAGGCAGCAGUGGGGAAUUUUGGACAAUGGGCGCAAGCCUGAUCCAGCAAUGCCGCGUGCAGGAAGAAGGUCUUCGGGUUGUAAACUGCUUUUGUACGGAACGAAACGGUCUGGGUUAAUACCUCGGGCUAAUGACGGUACCGUAAGAAUAAGCACCGGCUAACUACGUGCCAGCAGCCGCAGUAAUAC